rnacentral:tRNA from 1 species
ACCGGGGUGCUGGAACUGGUAGACAGGCAUGGUUGAGGGCCAUGUGUCCAUUAGGGCGUGUGGGUUCGAUUCCCAUUCCCGGUACAA